CAGCCGCCACGGGAAUACAGAGGAUGCAAGCGUUAUCCGGAAUGAUUGGGCGUAAAGCGUCUGUAGGUGGCUUUUCAAGUCCGCCGUCAAAUCCCAGGGCUCAACCCUGAACAGGCGGUGGAAACUACCAAGCUGGAGUACGGUAGGGGCAGAGGGAAUUUCCAGUGGAGCGGUGAAAUGCGUUGAGAUCGAAAGAACACCAACGGCGAAAGCACUCUGCUGGGCCGACACUGACACUGAGAGACGAAAGCUAGGGGAGCAAAUGGGAUUAGAUACCCCUGUAGUCCCUGUCUCUUAUACA
rnacentral:rRNA from 1 species